GAUGAACGCUGACAGAAUGCUUAACACAUGCAAGUCGAUGGGGAAGUGGUGCUUGCACCAUGGUAACCAUGGCGGACGGGUGAGUAACGCGUAAGGGACUUACCCGCGGGACCGGGAUAACAGCAGGAAACUGCUGACAAGACCGGAUAAGGUCAUGGAACCGCAUGGUUACAUGAUGAAAGGAGACGCCUGCGGAGAGCCUUGCGUCCUAUUAGCUAGUUGGGGGGGUAACGGCCCACCAAGGCGAAGAUAGGUAGCCGGCCUGAGAGGGUGGACGGCCACAAGGGGACUGAGAUACGGCCCUUACUCCUACGGGAGGCAGCAGUGGGGAAUAUUGGACAAUGGGGGCAACCCUGAUCCAGCAAUUCUGUGUGCACGAAGACGGUUUUCGGAUUGUAAAGUGCUUUCAGCAGGGAAGAAGUAAGUGACGGUACCUGCAGAAGAAGCGACGGCUAAAUACGUGCCAGCAGCCGCGGUAAUACGUAUGUCGCGAGCGUUAUCCGGAAUUAUUGGGCAUAAAGGGCAUCUAGGCGGCCUGACAAGUCAGGGGUGAAAACCUGCGGCUCAACCGCAGGCCUGCCUUUGAAACUGACAGGCUGGAGUACCGGAGAGGUGGACGGAACUGCACGAGUAGAGGUGAAAUUCGUAGAUAUGUGCAGGAAUGCCGAUGAUGAAGAUAGUUCACUGGACGGUAACUGACGCUGAAGUGCGAAAGCCGGGGGAGCGAACAGG
rnacentral:rRNA from 1 species